CAUUCCUGUAGCGACCCCAAGUCAUUUAUGACUUGCUGGCACUGACUGUUCGGUCGCCUGGUCGUUCGUUUGGGUUUUAGGCCCGCUUUCCUGUUUUGGAGAUUUUUAUAACUUGAAAAGUUGACUUUGGUCAACCUUCUUGGAAGUCGUGCUCAGAUGAAAAUUCUGACGGCUAGGUUAGCUUCGGAAGAUCGAUUUUGGUCUAGAACGACCCUUUGUUCACUUCCCGAGAUUUUAAAUAGCAGUUGUGGAAUCUGGUUCAAAACGAUACUGGAUGUGGGACCCACUUUUCGUCGAAGCGAGCUUCAAAUGGAAAUUCCGCCUUCACUGUUGAGUCCGAAAUAUCAUUUCCAAUCAGAUUCCAUAUAAGGUUUGUAUUUUUCCGACUUCGAACGAGUCCGAAACAUCGAAAUUUAAGUUUGAAGGGUUGUAGAAUUUUGAAGCGGCGGUGACGUGGCAGAGCCACGUGACGACACGUGGCAGAGGAGUGAAAUCUGGAAAUUUCCAGAAUUUAAGACGAAAUUCGUCCAUUUUUUUUCCUUCAACUUCAACUUGAGAUUGCUCCUUCAUUUUUAGUCCAAAUUAAGUGAUUCAAAAGGCAAACUUCAAGAGAAUUUCGAGGGGAAUCUAGCGGUGGUCUCAGAAACGCGAGGGGAGGCUUCAUUUGAGUGGGGAAGCAUUUGGAGACCGUUCGGAGAGGAAAAGAUCCAAUACCGUGAGUUGGAGCACGCGUGAUCGGCUUUCAGGUCCGAGCACUAGUAACCAGCGUUGAUCGAGCUUAGAGUAGACUUAUCCGGAGACGGGGGUGAGCACACGGCGUUUUGUACUAUUUCAGUCUCCAUCUGUAUAUAUAGACUUGUCUUUUUCCUUUCGAGACAGUCCAGUCUCUGUUGUCCAGUUUUGGGACUUGUACUCAUUUUGUAGUAGCUCUGUACUAGUGACUUCCAGAUUCUAGGAGAGAUCUUUAUUUGUAUAUAUGUUUUUG